UGGGUAACACUAACUGGAGGACCGAACCGACUAAUGUUGAAAAAUUAGCGGAUGACCUGUGGCUGGGGGUGAAAGGCCAAUCAAACCGGGAGAUAGCUGGUUCUCCCCGAAAGCUAUUUAGGUAGCGCCUCGUGAAUUCAUCUCCGGGGGUAGAGCACUGUUUCGGCUAGGGGGCCAUCCCGGCUUACCAACCCGAUGCAAACUGCGAAUACCGGAGAAUGUUAUCACGGGAGACACACGGCGGGUGCUAACGUCCGUCGUGAAGAGGGAAACAACCCAGACCGCCAGCUAAGGUCCCAAAGUCAUGGUUAAGUGGGAAACGAUGUGGGAAGGCCCAGACAGCCAGGAUGUUGGCUUAGAAGCAGCCAUCAUUUAAAGAAAGCGUAAUAGCUCACUGGUCGAGUCGGCCUGCGCGGAAGAUGUAACGGGGCUAAACCAU
rnacentral:rRNA from 1 species